GCCGCUGCUUGCUUCAGCUACUAAGACGCCGAAACUUUCAAAACAUCCAACAUUACUUCCUGGUGAGAAGAUUUUGCUCCAGCAAGACGCAACAUGUGUCGAGACAUAUCACAUGCCUGUGGAAGGAACUCUACAUCUCACUACAUAUAGAGUGAUUUUCAGUGGCUCAGCACAGGUUUGUUGAUGUUUGAGGUUGCAAUAUCAUUAACAUGUGUGCAAUAAUUACAUGUACAUUGUUAAGAAUGUACACUCUAAAAACACUCUGGUUAAAUUCAACCAGGAAUUGGGUUAAUAAUCCACCCAACACAUUCUGGUUAAAUUUAACCCAUUUCCUGGUUAAAAAUUAUCAAUUCAACAAAAAUUUGGUACACUUUUUUGGACUUUUAACCAGGAAAAUGGUUAAUUUUUUUUAACCAGACUUGUGUAGGUGGAUUUUUAACCCCGUACUGGUUGAAUUAACCCAAAUUUAACCAGAGUGUUUUUAGAGUGUACAUUCCUUUUAAUUUAUACAUUCACAGAUCUUGAAUUUUUUAAUGAGUUUCACUCUGGAGAAUGAUUAGGAGUGAUAGAUAGAUCAGAUCCUGACAACCUUGUACCCAGGACUUUCCCUCUUGGGGAGGAGACCCUGGUAGAAGCUGGAGUCUGCUAAAAUCUAGAGCAAAAAGUUUCAAAUCUUGAAAACUUACCGUUCUUGCAAACAAGAAAGUCGAAGCCGAAGUGUUUAUCCGCGUUUGACGUCACAAAAAAAAUUAUGCAUGCUGACGCCAUACUUACGAGAAAGGUCUUUUGUAUUUGUAAUCGACUGACUAAGAUCGUGUGCAAUUUGCAGCAACAAAAUGGUAGUUAAUUACUACCUUAAAAAAUAAGCAGAAACUCGACGUUUCGAGCGAAGGCCCUUCGUCGGGCCUUCGCUCGAAACGUCGACUUUCUGCUUAUUUUUUAAGGUAGUAAUAUAACCACUCAGCACAGCAUUUUUAGUAUAAAUACUGUAGUAUUCACCCAUCCUGAUAAUCAGUCUGAUUAUCUUUAGCAAGCCUCGAACUUGCGAACGCUUGCAAAGUCAUAAACUCGCAAAAUGCGAGGAAAAUGCCAGCCUUUGCUAGUAAAACGAACCAUUUCACUAGCAAACUUUGCGAGUAUAUGGACGUUAUUCUGGUAAAUUGAGCAAUUAAAAAUUGCAGAUAUAUGAUUUUUUAUGCGAGCAUCUGAUGAACGAAGAACCAUGCAAGCUAUCUAUUACGGUCAGAGGUUACGAAGAUACCAUUAUGCGGGAUAAAGAUUCAUGUCUCACUGUUUAUGAGUUAGGGUCAGCGGUAAGGGUAAGGGUCAGGUUUAGGGUCAGCAUUCAUAAAUACCGAGACAUGAAUUUAUAACCGACAUGCGUGAAAUACAUGCCAAACAUUUAUUUUAAUACAUUUUGCGAGUGAUUUUGCACGUUUUGCUAGUGACAGUGAAACCUACUGCACAUGUUUGCUAGUAGCCAAAAAAUUAAGGUAGAGCCUUGACGUUUAGGAUAUAGAAGACGACGGCAGCCAUGAUCAUGAUCCAGCUCUUGCAUCAAGAAAACCAUACAAUCAGUGGGGAAAGAAGAAAGGAAUCUCUGAUACACUUGAAAGAUUUAGAGAGAAAGCACAUCAUUUUCAGAAGAACUUACAACAUUCAAAGUCCAG
rnacentral:lncRNA from 1 species